CACACCGCCCGUCACGCCAUGGGAGUUGGUUUCACCCGAAGGUGGUGCGCUAACCCGCAAGGGAGGCAGCCAACCACGGUGGGAUCAGCGACUGGAGUG
rnacentral:rRNA from 1 species